ensembl:ncRNA B0238.18 ncRNA
AGGUCCAAUUCGGUAGUUGGGAGUGACUAGAAUUACAUCUUUAAGUGGAAGAGUUCCAGUUAAAGAAUAAUCAUCAAACAUCGAUGAGAAUCCAACCUCGAAACCUCCACCAUAGAAGUAAACCAUUACAGGAAAACCGUUUGGCUGAAA